rnacentral:rRNA from 1 species
CGUAGGGGGCAAGCGUUGUCCGGAUUUAUUGGGCGUAAAGCGCUCGCAGGUGGUCCGAUGCGUCGUGCGUGAAAGACCCUGGCUCAACUGGGGGGUGUCGUGCGAUACGGUCGGACUGGAGGCCAGUAGGGGGAUGCGGAAUUCCGGGUGUAGUGGUGGAAUGCGUAGAGAUCCGGAGGAACACCAGCGGCGAAGGCGGCAUCCUGGACUGGUCCUGACACUCAUGAGCGAAAGCGUGGGGAGCGAUCCGGAUUAGAUACCCGGGUAGUCCACGCUGUAAACGAUGCGUACUAGGUGUCGGGGGUAUCGACCCCCUCGGUGCCGCAGCUAACGCGAUAAGUACGCCGCCUGGGGACUACGGCCGCAAGGCUA